rnacentral:rRNA from 1 species
UACGGAGGGUGCGAGCGUUGUCCGGAAUCACUGGGCGUAAAGGGCGCGUAGGUGGCUUGGCAAGCGUGUGGUGAAAGCCCGGGGCUCAACCCCGGGUCUGCCGUGCGAGCUGCUAUGGCUUGAGCACUGUAGAGGCAGGUAGAAUUCCGGGUGUAGCGGUGGAAUGCGUAGAGAUCCGGAAGAAUACCGGUGGCGAAGGCGGCCUGCUGGGCAGUGGCUGACACUGAGGCGCGACAGCGUGGGGAGCAAACAGG